rnacentral:rRNA from 1 species
CCUACGGGUGGCAGCAGUGAGGAAUAUUGGUCAAUGGCCGAGAGGCUGAACCAGCCAAGUCGCGUGAGGGAAGACGGCCCUACGGGUUGUAAACCUCUUUUGUCGGAGAACAAAACCCGGGACGUGUCCCGUACUGCGUGUAUCCGUAGAAAAAGCAUCGGCUAACUCCGUGCCAGCAGCCGCGGUAAUACGGAGGAUGCGAGCGUUAUCCGGAUUUAUUGGGUUUAAAGGGUGCGUAGGCGGUCCGUUAAGUCAGCGGUAAAAUUGCGGGGCUCAACCCCGUCGAGCCGUUGAAACUGGCAGACUUGAGUUGGCGAGAAGUACGCGGAAUGCGCGGUGUAGCGGUGAAAUGCAUAGAUAUCGCGCAGAACUCCGAUUGCGAAGGCAGCGUACCGGAGCCAGACUGACGCUGAGGCACGAAAGCGUGGGGAUCGAACAGGAUUAGAUACCCUAGUAGUC